AGGAAUCACAGCUGUAGCUCAGUUAAGAAAUUCACAGCUGAUUGUAAUCAGGGACAAUCCAUAUACUUUCGCUACCUUCCUUGUUUUCUAUUACACAUAAUAGCCAUUGUUGGAGUGCACCACAGCUCUGCGGAGAGAUAAGAGAAAGGAGUAUUUUACAGCUCCACGGAGAGAUUAAAAAUCCAUAUGGCAAUUAAGAAAUACGAAA